GAACUAUGGGUCCGAGAGAUUGGAUCCUUCACUUCGGGUGGGUUCCACACAGGUGCUGCAUGGCUGUCGUCAGCUCGUGUCGUGAGAUGUUGGGUUAAGUCCCGCAACGAGCGCAACCCUCAUCGUCAGUUGCCAUCAUUUGGUUGGGCACUCUGACGAAACUGCCGGUGACAAGCCGGAGGAAGGUGGGGAUGACGUCAAGUCCUCAUGGCCCUUACGGGCUGGGCUACACACGUGCUACAAUGGUGGUGACAAUGAGUUGCGAGCUCGCGAGAGUUAGCUAAUCUCCAAAAGCCAUCUCAGUUCGGAUUGCACUCUGCAACUCGAGUGCAUGAAGUCGGAAUCGCUAGUAAUCGUGGAUCAGCAUGCCACGGUGAAUACGU
rnacentral:rRNA from 1 species